rnacentral:rRNA from 1 species
CCUACGGGAGGCAGCAGUGGGGAAUAUUGCACAAUGGGGGAAACCCUGAUGCAGCGACGCCGCGUGAGUGACGAAGUAUUUCGGUAUGUAAAGCUCUAUCAGCAGGGAAGAAAAUGACGGUACCUGAUUAAGAAGCCCCGGCUAACUACGUGCCAGCAGCCGCGGUCAUACGUAGGGGGCAAGCGUUAUCCGGAUUUACUGGGUGUAAAGGGAGCGUAGACGGCAGCACAAGUCUGGAGUGAAAUGCCGGGGCUUAACCCCGGAACUGCGUUGGAAACUGUGCAGCUAGAGUGCAGGAGAGGUAAGUGGAAUUCCUAGUGGAGCGGUGAAAUGCGUAGAUAUUAGGAGGAACACCAGUGGCGAAGGCGGCUUACUGGACUGUAACUGACGUUGAGGCUCGAAAGCGUGGGGAGCAAACAGGAUUAGAUACCCUUGUAGUC